CUGAACUUUCUCUUUUUCGCUGAUUCUCCACAACUGUCUCUGCUGCGCCAUCGCUUUCUUCGUUGGGCGCUCGCGUGAGGGUGCUAUACUCGUGGUACCGACGUUUUACUGUCUUGACGCGCUCACCCAGCUAGCCUGCCGUCCGGGUGCUCGACCAAGGCGUAAAUACCCAGGGAUACGCCGGCACAAACAAAAGGGUGCGCGCAAGCACGUUGGUGGCCCGCCACCCUCUCCUGCGGACUCUUCAUCUUUUCGCGCCUCGCCAAAUCUCUCCUUGCUUCGUCACCUUUUUCUCAUCUCAGCGACUACGAUUAACAAAACAGACGAAACACACAAUUGAAUCUUAGAGCAGCAGCAGCGGCAGCAGCAUCAACUGCUAAUCUAUCUAGUGUUGUCACCCUACUUCAUGGGAUACUUUUUUCUCCGUGCGUCUCUCUCUCUGUGUGCGCGCAUCUUUUCGACAUCGCGCUUUUUGUGUAUUUCUAUUGCCGGCCCUCCCCUCCCCUCGCUUCGUUGCCCUCUCGCUCGUGCUUUGCCCCUAAGCGCGAGCGUGCCCAUUCGUCUUUGUGCUUACCACCCGUGAAGGCCAUUUUCCCCUCCUCCCGACCCAUCGACGCGGCGUGAUUCUCACUCAUCUGUCUCUCCUCCAUUCAGGAGCCAUUCAGAAACGGACGAACCGAAACAAACGGAGUACAGACGCUGGCGUCGCGGUAGACGCGCUCAUCGACGCACGCACAGUUGCUCACUAUACCGACCGCAGCAAAGGUAAAAAAAAAACGUGCCCAUCCCCUUCUUUUUUUUUUUGAUUGCGUCUUCAUCUGUUUUGAAUUCCGUUCUCGCAUUCGAGGGGUGCAGACAAGGCACAAACGCACAGACAAGCGGUGAGGAUCUGGUAAGAGAGACACACCCGCUUUUGUUUUCGUGUGCUCCCCCUUUUCGGCGGCUGUUUUCUCUUCCUCUCUCCCUCCCCCCAACCGACACACACACACACACACACCUCCGUCCUGACCUUUCUUGCUUUUCAUUUUUGCUGUUUCGCUCUUUUCUCCUGUUCAGCUCCUUUUAUAUAGUGUCUGUCUGUCUGUGUGCGUGUUGUCUUUCAUGUCCGUCCCUCCUCUCUGCUUCCCUCUUUCCCUCAGUGCGUAUAUACGCGUGCGUCUGUCUGUCUGUCUGUGUUUUCGUGUGGCUGGUCCGCUGGCCUCUUCCUCCCCUCCUCCUCCUCCCCACGUCUGUGGCGCUUUGGUGUUUUUUUUCGGUUUGUUUCCGUCUUGCUCCGUCGUUCGAGUCAAAUCAGCUUCAUCUGUCGAAUCCGCUUAUCAGUCACUUUGGCCUCUGUACUCCCUUGCUCCUCUUGCGCAGAGACGCAGGCGAACAUGUCCGCUCUUUCCCCUUCGGCUACUCCCGUCACGCUGCGCUCCGUAUCAGGCAAGAGCCUGCUGGUGACGCCGCCCGUGACGCUGGCUACGGUGCUGACAGUCGCUACUGGCCCGCCUUUCUCUUUCACGCCGGAAAGCGUCAAGAUCCUUCUUCAUGGUCGGAUUGUGCGCCUCCUCCAGUACCAAAAGCAGCACGGCAGUGACGUGUUCAAACUUCCUCUUGAUGCCUCCGCGUACACGCCGCCGAGGACGAUCGCCAAGUGCGAAAAUUCUGUCGCGCUCGCGUCAUCCUCUUCCUCCGGUGCCGAGUUCAAGGCUGAGCCCCGCUCUGUCAUUGUCUAUGGGGUGCCGCAGCACAUUCGGGCGACAGCCUCAGCACCGCACACCGGUGCGCAGGAGCCGGCGGCCCUCUCCACACCCUUCGCUGAGGCUCACGGAAAAUCGCUUCCAAUAUCAACUUCCCCCCGCGUCGGACAGCAGGAGUGUUCUGACAGUACUUGCACCACUAUCGCUGCGACGCCUACCACUGCAAAGGCGAGCCGGCGAGCGUCGUUGAUGCGGCUGCCCGUCAAUUCACCGACGGCACGCGCUACCCCGAUCAAGGGCCCUCUACCGUACCCACACAGCCCGGAUGGCCUCCGUGAGCUUGACAAGAUCUGCGCCGAGUUCGACUCGGACGACGACGAAGACCUCAUCACGCUGCUGCAGGGCGCGCCGCCGAGUAUCUACAACCAUCCCACGGUGCUCUACAUGUCAAACAAGGUAAAGGGUGAUUUGGUCAUUCUGCAGGCGGCGAUGGAGCAGAUCGCGCGCGUGUCGCCUGUCUUCUUCGACUGGAUUGUUGAGAAUCCGCAGAGGUUCUUGAGUGCGCUCAACCGUGGCGGUGAGCGCUCGCUGCAGCAAGUAAAGGAUCAGCUGCGCAUGCUUGCCAUGCGAGCUAUGGCGGACCAGAUGAGCGGCGAGACGCCGUCCCGCCAUGUAAUGAUGUUGGAGGUGAACACGAGGGAUGGCUCUCCGGACGUGUACCAGGUCGAGGUACAGGUGGGCGAUUUCUCCGACGCGUCGACUCCGAGCGACUCUCUCACGCCGAACAGUCUCGCAGAUAACAACUCGGCGGAGGAGGAGAAAGGGGACGGGGAAGACAGUGUGAACACGGACGACGAGAUGGAGGAGAACGACACGGCUGCGUCGAGCGUCGAUGCAUUUGCCGAGGACGGCGGCGUUGCCGAGGGCACGGAAGAGGAGGAAGAGGGGGACGAACGACAUCGGGGCGCCAUUCUUUUGCCGAGCACCCCCGGGCCCCUUGAGGAAGCACCUUCUGCAUAUCCGCCGUCGGGCACGGUGCCGUCGCCGGACCGUGCGGUGACGGGCGCCAUGCUGUCGCACGGAGGUAGCGUGACUAAGGCCGAGGAAAGAGCGUCCGCUGAGGAGCGCGAAUUGCCGUUGACUCCGUCUAACCCAGCGGAUGCCGUCGCUGCCGGCGUCGCUCGUCGCUCAUUCCCACCCCUGCCCUCCACCUCUUCGGCUGCCGCCAGGUCUACCCCUCUCGACGUGGCAGCGAGCCCGGCCUCGCCAGCCGUUUCUCCACAUGAAGACAGCGACGCGGAAGACGUGCGGCUAUCGGGUCUACGGAAGGAACUGGAGCACGUCGACUCCUUGACGCAGCAGUGGGCGCAUCAGGCAACUAACGACGCGGCACACAGAGCGCACGCUGCCAUCUCGAAACUCCGUCGCGAUCUCUUUACCGUUCUGAACGAUCUCAUUACCACCUCGUCCACGCCCGCUUCCUCGUUACGCAGCUUCGGGGAUGUGCGGCGCCUUGCUGUCCUCGCCUGCAACUUUUUCUCCGCAGCUGAGGAGUUUUAUGUGCAGCUGGAUGAGCAAGGUGUGCGCUCGUCCGUGUUUGGCGAGACGCCGCAGGACUCGGUGGCGGCAUUUGCGGCUGUGGCCGCGCUUAGUCGCCUUCUCGUGUGCGACGUGGACGCUGCGGUGGAGCGGCAGCUGCAGGAAGGCACACCUGGUCUUAGCCGCGUCGGUGCGCUGCGCUCGGUGCGGCACAUCCAUUCGAUUCGGGAAAGCCCUGCGCUGCGCUGGACAACCGCCGAGGGGCCAGAGAAACUGUUGAUGGCUCUCCUGCAGCUCUGUCGCCAGCAGCGGGCGGUGGUACUGUGGUACAGCAGCCACUAUGUCCUGAAGGAGGUGGGCAAGACAAUCCAGACAAUUGCCUACAUCCUCGGCGGCAGGGGGGAGGGCCAGCAGACGGUGUCGCUGCAGCGUUUGAAGGUGACGAGCAAAACGCAUAAACAGGACGAGGUGGCCGACUGCAUCACCGCGCUGUCCGACGCACUGGCGGACACCGGCACUUUGUCGGACGCCAUGCGUUGCCAAUGGUUUACUCUCAUGCACAGCCGCUAUCAGCGGCUCGUGCUCCCCAUCGAAAAGGACCUUCCCGCGCCCCACAUGACAUCGGAUCCGCUCUACGUGUGCGACACACGGCACGUGCUGCCCCCCAAAGGCAGCGGUGCACACCCAGACACGUUACAUGGCACCAUGGACAGCGCGGCUCGCUGGUGGGCCGGCUACUGUGACGAUCGACAUACCUGCUGCGCUGACAAGUGGUGCCUGGCACUGACGGAGCGGUUGUGGAACAUCGUCACGGCCAUGGAGAACGCUGCUGCGGAGGUGACUGCAGAGAACGUGGUUCUUGUGCUGACGGGCGACGGGACUGAGGCAAGUGCCGCGAACUCGCCUUCACUGGAGGCGGCCGUGCGUGGCUGGCUAGGCGACAUAACGUGGAUCCCGGUCGACAGCGUUGUAGCACCAUCGGUGGCAACAGCAUCGACAUCGCUGUCACGCUCCGUCGCCCGACACUCUGCGGUCCUUUUCGAGCAGGUGUGGCCCCCCGCGGAGGCGAAGGACGGGAUAGCAGCGGCGGACCCCUCUUCCAGCGUGGCUGGCGUCCAUGGUAUGCUGCCCCUCUUCAGCGGCGACGUGCAUAUGGUGGAUGUGGCUGCGGUGGCCGCAGGGCAUAGGCCAGUGUUGGAACUGGCUGGCGGCGCAGCUUUGCCGACGUACUUGGCAACAGUUGCGCGCAACUUCGUAUUACCUGCCUCUGCACGCGAGCAGAUCUUCGUGCGGCACUUGUUCGGCAUGUUUGCGAAGUACCCACGUAUCCCGGUGGCGGCGGCGGUGCGAGAUGCGGCUCUCGCCAACGCACGCUGCCAGGAUUCACCGUGGCUGGUGAGUGAAUACGUGCUUUACGACUACGGCGGUGCAUUAUCGACCUUUACAGACGCUGAUGAAAAGGCAGACACCGCCGUUGCAGUAGGCGCAGCUGUGACAACAAAGCCGGCGUCAUCUACCGCCGCCGCAGCCCUGCCCUCACCCAUGACAGACCCAUCGGCCGAGUGUGCCAGCGACACUUUUGUGCGCAUGCCGAGCGUACCGCUGGGCAAGCGCUUGAGCACACCUCGCCCGCUGCCGCCAACGCAGCGUAGACCUGUUCGCGCCACCCUUCGCUCACAGCUCGCACGUGCGCAGGCGGCUGCCGGCGCGAUGUCAAAGCGCCAAUACGCCCGCAGCCAUGCCGUCGAUGAACUGUACGAGAUGAUGCUUGGCAGCUUGCUUGAGCACCGCCCGACCGGUGAGGCCAAUGUGCUGGACCACUUAGUGCAUUACGUGGAGUCGUCGCAGGACGCGAUGCGGGGCCGCGUUUACAAGAGGCGGGCAGAGGCUGCCGCCGCUGCUGCGGCGCAGAAGGUCGCCCACAGCACCAAGCCCAGUCAUUCUGCGGUGGGCGGUGGUAGCAGUUGUACGCAGCCGCAACCGCCAGGUGGAAAGCCUAACUCCUUCGCGCGUCGCAGACAAUGAUGUCGUGCACCAUGCUUGACACGGAUCAGGCAACGGUCACGAGAACUGCUGGCGCUCUUCUGUGCCUUUCGCUGCACAUACUGGGGAUGCUACUGCUCUCGCAGCGUUUUCCUUUCCACUGUGUGUGUUGGCGCUGACUUUCUGCGUGCUCUCUCCGACCUUCGCAGAAAAGGCUAGGGGAAAUCGUCUCCCAGCACACCUACUUUGAGGUGCCACCACAACUCCCAGUACUUUCCUCGUCUGCUUCGCCAAGGUGUCUCUUUGUGCGCUGGCGCGUGAUUGUCCGCGUGCCCCUUCCACUUGCCACACACACCCGCUCCUGUCACGCGCGUGCGGAUUGAGGAGGUGGAGCGCCCCUGCCGGCACAGACUCGUAGCCGCGCCGACACGCCUCCUCCCUCUCCUCCCUCUCCUCCCGCUCCUCUCUCCCCUCGCAUGGCAUCGACGGGAAACGGCAGAUGAGGGCAGCGAGCCACCCCCCUUCCCCCCUCCCCCCCAAUGCACACAGUGGAUGCGUGCGAAGUGUGCGGCCUCUCCCCCAUGCGGCCGGGCGGGUGCGAUGAGGCACGACGAGAGCGCCGCGAAUGGCGCCGUCGAGCCCUCCCGACUGCGGUGUGAAGGGUGCCCACACCACCUUGUGGGAUGCCGCGGCUGGAAGCGACUGAGAGGGCGCAGCACGUGUGCGAAGGAAGGGACGAGGAAGGACAGGAGGAGCCUGCUUAGACGCGUGGCCCCGAUCCGGCGGCUGGACGCUGCGCCCUCGAGGACCCGGAUGUAGUCGCGGCGCCACAGGAGGUGGGUGCGCUGCGGUUGGAAGCGCAUACCUUGACUGACGUGUUCCUGGUGGAAUGGCACAGCGCGAAGAGAAUAGUUUCUCGCGUGCGUUGCCGUUGCUGUGGUUUUCGCGAAGCGGCUGAGAGUUUUGCACUCGAACUCUUUGCCUUGUCCUCUCACCUUGCAUUUAGGGGGCCCCGUCGGGCGUUUUCUUUUUUUUUUUAUUGACUUGUCUCCGUUUGUGUGUGGGAAGGCGACUUCGUAUGGGGCGCUGGUUUUAUUUCUUCUCGUACAUGUGCAUCGGUGGUGGGGCGAUGUGUACUGUGUUAGUGUGCGAUUUUUCGUUUCCCAAGUUUGCGAGGAGAUUCUUUUCUUGCAUCGUCACAUUACCUUUGAGGGGAGGAGGAAGCGGGGCCAGAUGUUCAUGGCGCAUUUCUGUUUCUGUGUGUGUGUUGUCUUGUGGCCGCGUCUCUCGCUGUGGAGCCUCGAUUGGAUGCAAGUUUGGUGAUUCUGCUUUCUCUGUCUUACCAUUUCCAACCGCAGUUGAUGACGUGCACACUUUUCCUUCUUCCCUUUAACAUCACCGGCGGUGCUAUGUCUUAAAGUUUGGUGGAACGUGGUUGCUCCACGGCACUACUCUCCUUUUUCUAGCUGUUCAAGGAGGGCGAAAGGCAUGGCGGACCCCGGUUCGGUGACCCUGACGUCCGUGAGGAAGGUGAUUGUCGGAGUCGACGUAUGUGCAAGCGAGACGCACCGAACGAAACAAACCGUCCACUAUGGGGGGCGAAAAGAUAUGUGCAAAGGAAGCAUAGAGAGCAAGGAAUGCGAUUGCGGUGGGGUCUCGUGGUCAUGCGGGUGCGUGCGUGUGUGUUGCCCUUUCAGCUCUUGUGCGAUAUGCGCCGAUGUAGAGUUUCGCUGUCCUCUUUUUGUUUCUUUGGCUUCUGGCAUCAUUGGCGAUGAGCCGAUGGCGUUGGGCUUGCGUAUGUCUUUGUUCUUGCCGGUAAUUGUGUGUGCUGGCGUACUUGGCACAGACACGGUAUGCCUUGCUGCAGCUCUUCUUUCCUUCCCUCCAUCUCUUGCGCACGCCACGGAAGGGAGGACUGAGGUGGGGAAGACAAAAUGGAGAAGUCUGCUGAACACCUGCGCUUGAUUUUCUGUGCUGGCUACCUACGCACAUGCGCCCCGCUCUGCGAGCCUUCGUUUCCAUCUGUAUAGUCUUUUUUCUUUUCGCUUUAUUUGCGGUUCCUCCUGCAUUUCCCGCUUCGUGCUGAGGCGAUCACACGUAGGUGCUGAGCGCACACGACAUUUUCAU
rnacentral:misc_RNA from 1 species